UGGCUGAACAAGCCUACGUUAAUGCCAACUUUUAGCGCACGGCUCUCUCCCAAGAGCCAUUUCCCUAGACCGAAUAUAGGAAUCGUAUUCGGUCUUUUUUU
rnacentral:sRNA from 4 species